AUUGAACGCUGGCGGCAGGCCUAACACAUGCAAGUCGAGCGGGGUUUUCGGACCUAGCGGCGGACGGGUGAGUAAUGCGUAGGAAGCUACCCGAUAGAGGGGGAUACCAGUUGGAAACGACUGUUAAUACCGCAUAAUGUCUACGGACCAAAGUGUGGGACCUUCGGGCCACAUGCUAUCGGAUGCGCCUACGUGGGAUUAGCUAGUUGGUGAGGUAAUGGCUCACCAAGGCGACGAUCCCUAGCUGGUUUGAGAGGAUGAUCAGCCACACUGGAACUGAGACACGGUCCAGACUCCUACGGGAGGCAGCAGCGGGGAAUAUUGGACAAUGGGCGCAAGCCUGAUCCAGCCAUGCCGCGUGUGUGAAGAAGGCCUUCGGGUUGUAAAGCACUUUCAGUAGGGAGGAAGGGUUAAGUGUUAAUAGUACUUAACUUUGACGUUACCUACAGAAGAAGCACCGGCUAACUCUGUGCCAGCCGCCGCGGUAAAAC
rnacentral:rRNA from 1 species